GCUUGUCUCAAAGAUUAAGCCAUGCAUGUCUAAGUAUAAGUAUUAUACAGCGAAACUGCGAAUGGCUCAUUAAAACAGUUAUGGUUUAUUUGAUAAUCGAAUUUUACAUGGAUAACCGUGGUAAUUCUAGAGCUAAUACAUGCUGGUGUGCCUGACUUUUCGGAAGGGCGGUAUUUAUUAGAUAACAAGCCAAUAUUCCUCACGGUCUAUUGUGGUGACUCAUAAUAACUGAUCGAAUCGCAAGGCCCUUGGCCGCGAUAAGUCAUUCAAGUUUCUGCCCCAUCAGCUUUCGAUGGUAGUGUAUUGGACUACCAUGGCGUUCACGGGUAACGGAGAAUUAGGGUUCGAUUCCGGAGAGGGAGCCUGAGAGAUGGCUACCACAUCCAAGGAAGGCAGCAGG
rnacentral:rRNA from 1 species